UGUUCUGUGGCUUAGUUGGUUAAAGCGCCGGUCUAGCGAAUACGGAGUCGUGGGUACGAUUCCCACCAGAACGC
rfam:Aedes albopictus isolate Foshan contig6674, whole genome shotgun sequence.